GUAAUCCACUCAGCAGUGUCCACUUCAUGCUGCUUUUUCUAAAGUCUAGCCAAUAGAGAAUAACAAUUUGAAGACUUAUUUAUUAAUCUUUCUUCGGUGCAUUGUAUGCCAGCACUGCUUCAGCAAUAUGAUGUGGAUGGACUGGCAAGGUUUCCAAUGGGCCUGGGAUUGACACCAUAUUUAUGUCCAUUGGCUACAGCUGUUUGGGGUUUUUCCCCCUUGCAGCACUGAUUCACAGAUCACUACUUUGAGCUCACUGUUGAAUGCUGUAGAAAGAACUCUGCUUACUGGGAGGUAAAGAUGUUUUGCAGUGGACAAACAUAGGUGACUUGUGAGGACUCCCGACCACCACCAUCACCAUCACAAGGAUAACUCACCUCUCCUGUUCAGUCUAUGAACUGCCAUUGAUUGUGAGAUUCCAGAUAUGUUUGCAUUAAUAAAAAAACAUAAUCAGUGCA